UACAGAGACUGCAAGCGUUAUUCGGAUUCACUGGGCGUAAAGGGUGCGCAGGCGGCCGUGUGUGUGAGGUGUGAAAUCCCGGAGCUUAACUCCGGAACUGCGCCUCAAACUACAUGGCUAGAGCAUUGGAGAGGGAAGUGGAAUUCACGGUGUAGCAGUGAAAUGCGUAGAUAUCGUGAGGAACACCAGUGGCGAAGGCGGUUCUCUGGGACGGUACUGACGCUGAGACGCGAAAGCGUGGGGAGCGAACAGG
rnacentral:rRNA from 1 species